CUACUCUCAGUUCGGAUUGUAGGCUGAAACUCGCCUACAUGAAGCUGGAGUUACUAGUAAUCGCAGAUCAGAAUGCUGCGGUGAAUGCGUUCCCGGGUCUUGUACACACCGCCCGUCACACCACGGGCGUUGGAGACGCCCGAAGCCGAUUAUCUAACCUUUUGGAAGAAGUCGUCGAAGGUGGAAUCAAUAACUGGGGUGAAGUCGUAACAAGGUAGCCGUAUCGGAAGGUGCGGCUGGAUCACCUCCUUUCUAAGGAGA
rnacentral:rRNA from 1 species